ensembl:lncRNA
UCUCUUAGACCUUAUUGAAGGGCUGAUCCCCAUUGGGGAAGGAUCUUUGGUUGGAGAUCUUGCCUUUGUGGAGUCUUUCAUGUGUGUCUAGAUCUUUGGAGACAGCCUCCAGUGCUUCAGAGGAAGGGAGAUGGAAAGGAUAUGCUCUCAGGAGACAGGUUAUGAAUCAAGAUUGCUUCGUACGGAACACUGACAGGCAGCCAAAGUUUAUGCUGGCUGACGCCUCUCUCGCCAUUGUGUCCAGAACUGUUUGAAGUUCUCAGCCUGUUGGAUAAAAUGCUAUUGUGCCCAAAGCCUUGACACGCGAAAGACAACAAACAGAUGACAGUAGUACAAAUACCUGGUUGUUGCAGGCUUGAUUUUGACAGUGGUAAUGGAUAAACCAGCUCUGGAAAGCAUUGAUAGCUGCCAAUAAUCAUCUAGGACAAAGACUCUUUGUGAGUAUGGGGCAUGGUGGAUGCUAGGGAGCAGGUGAAAGAUUGGAGUGAGCCCAUGUUUACCUGCAGCUCUAGAACCACCAAGACCCAGUAUUUCACAGCACCCAGUAGAGCAUGAUCCUGACCAGGCUCAUUUUGAGCACUGCCUGUGGCAAAUUCCAUAGUGUACGUCUUUGUUGCAUGGAGAACCUCCUUCCUUUUGUUUAUUUUGAACUUGCUAACAGGUAGCAAAGCAAUCCAUCCUUGGAUGGCCAUUCCCUUGCUCUCAUGGUUUUGUAAUACCUACCUCACCUUUCUCUCUCCCCAUCCAAAUAUCUUUCAGGAUGGAGGACCACAGUGUAUGCAGCUGGUCUGUGAUUAGAAAUCACUUGGAGCCUUUGAUUACAGUUUCUGCCCUCUGUUUUC